GACGAACGCUGGCGGCGUGCUUAACACAUGCAAGUCGAACGGAAAGGCCCUGCUUUUGUGGGGUGCUCGAGUGGCGAACGGGUGAGUAACACGUGAGUAACCUGCCCUUGACUUUGGGAUAAUUUCAGGAAACUGGGGCUAAUACCGGAUAGGAGCUCCUGCUGCAUGGUGGGGGUUGGAAAGUUUCGGCGGUUGGGGAUGGACUCGCGGCUUAUCAGCUUGUUGGUGGGGUAGUGGCUUACCAAGGCUUUGACGGGUAGCCGGCCUGAGAGGGUGACCGGCCACAUUGGGACUGAGAUACGGCCCAGACUCCUACGGGAGUCAGCAGUGGGGAAUAUUGCACAAUGGGCGGAAGCCUGAUGCAGCAACGCCGCGUGCGGGAUGACGGCCUUCGGGUUGUAAACCGCUUUCGCCUGUGACGAAGCGUGAGUGACGGUAAUGGGUAAAGAAGCACCGGCUAACUACGUG
rnacentral:rRNA from 1 species